GGUUAAGCGACUAAGCGUACACGGUGGAUGCCCUGGCAGUCAGAGGCGAUGAAGGACGUGCUAAUCUGCGAAAAGCGUCGGUAAGGUGAUAUGAACCGUUAUAGCCGGCGAUGUCCGAAUGGGGAAACCCAGUGCAAUUCGUUGCACUAUCGUUAACUGAAUACAUAGGUUAACGAGGCGAACCGGGGGAACUGAAACAUCUAAGUACCCCGAGGAAAAGAAAUCAACCGAGAUUCCCCCAGUAGCGGCGAGCGAACGGGGAGCAGCCCAGAGUCUGAAUCAGCUUGUGUGUUAGUGGAACGGUCUGGAAAGUCCGACGGUACAGGGUGAUAGUCCCGUACACCAAAAUGCACAGGCUGUGAACUCGAAGAGUAGGGCGGGACACGUGGUAUCCUGUCUGAAUAUGGGGGGACCAUCCUCCAAGGCUAAAUACUCCUGACUGACCGAUAGUGAACCAGUACCGUGAGGGAAAGGCGAAAAGAACCCCGGCGAGGGGAGUGAAAAAGAACCUGAAACCGUGUACGUACAAGCAGUGGGAGCACCUUCGGGUGUGACUGCGUACCUUUUGUAUAAUGGGUCAGCGACUUAUAUUCUGUAGCAAGGUUAACCGUAUAGGGGAGCCGCAGGGAAACCGAGUCUUAACUGGGCGUUAAGUUGCAGGGUAUAGACCCGAAACCCGGUGAUCUAGCCAUGGGCAGGUUGAAGGUUGGGUAACACUAACUGGAGGACCGAACCGACUAAUGUUGAAAAAUUAGCGGAUGACUUGUGGCUGGGGGUGAAAGGCCAAUCAAACCGGGAGAUAGCUGGUUCUCCCCGAAAGCUAUUUAGGUAGCGCCUCGUGAAUUCAUCUUCGGGGGUAGAGCACUGUUUCGGCUAGGGGGUCAUCCCGACUUACCAACCCGAUGCAAACUACGAAUACCGAAGAAUGUUAUCACGGGAGACACACGGCGGGUGCUAACGUCCGUCGUGAAGAGGGAAACAACCCAGACCGCCAGCUAAGGUCCCAAAGUCAUGGUUAAGUGGGAAACGAUGUGGGAAGGCACAGACAGCCAGGAUGUUGGCUUAGAAGCAGCCAUCAUUUAAAGAAAGCGUAAUAGCUCACUGGUCGAGUCGGCCUGCGCGGAAGAUGUAACGGGGCUAAACCAUGCACCGAAGCUGCGGCAGCGACACUAUGUGUUGUUGGGUAGGGGAGCGUUCUGUAAGCCUGCGAAGGUGACCUGUGAGGGUUGCUGGAGGUAUCAGAAGUGCGAAUGCUGACAUAAGUAACGAUAAAGCGGGUGAAAAGCCCGCUCGCCGGAAGACCAAGGGUUCCUGUCCAACGUUAAUCGGGGCAGGGUGAGUCGACCCCUAAGGCGAGGCCGAAAGGCGUAGUCGAUGGGAAACAGGUUAAUAUUCCUGUACUUGGUGUUACUGCGAAGGGGGGACGGAGAAGGCUAUGUUAGCCGGGCGACGGUUGUCCCGGUUUAAGCAUGUAGGCUGGUUAUCCAGGCAAAUCCGGAUAAUCAAGGCUGAGGUGUGAUGACGAGGCACUACGGUGCUGAAGUAACAAAUGCCCUGCUUCCAGGAAAAGCCUCUAAGCAUCAGGUAACAUCAAAUCGUACCCCAAACCGACACAGGUGGUCAGGUAGAGAAUACCAAGGCGCUUGAGAGAACUCGGGUGAAGGAACUAGGCAAAAUGGUGCCGUAACUUCGGGAGAAGGCACGCUGGUGUGUAGGUGAAGUCCCUGCGGAUGGAGCUGAGACCAGUCGAAGAUACCAGCUGGCUGCAACUGUUUAUUAAAAACACAGCACUGUGCAAACACGAAAGUGGACGUAUACGGUGUGACGCCUGCCCGGUGCCGGAAGGUUAAUUGAUGGGGUUAUCCGUAAGGAGAAGCUCUUGAUCGAAGCCCCGGUAAACGGCGGCCGUAACUAUAACGGUCCUAAGGUAGCGAAAUUCCUUGUCGGGUAAGUUCCGACCUGCACGAAUGGCGUAAUGAUGGCCAGGCUGUCUCCACCCGAGACUCAGUGAAAUUGAACUCGCUGUGAAGAUGCAGUGUACCCGCGGCAAGACGGAAAGACCCCGUGAACCUUUACUAUAGCUUGACACUGAACAUUGAGCCUUGAUGUGUAGGAUAGGUGGGAGGCUUUGAAGCGUGGACGCCAGUCUGCGUGGAGCCAACCUUGAAAUACCACCCUUUAAUGUUUGAUGUUCUAACGUUGGCCCCUUACCGGGGUUGCGGACAGUGUCUGGUGGGUAGUUUGACUGGGGCGGUCUCCUCCCAAAGCGUAACGGAGGAGCACGAAGGUUAGCUAAUCCUGGUCGGACAUCAGGAGGUUAGUGCAAUGGCAUAAGCUAGCUUGACUGCGAGCGUGACGGCGCGAGCAGGUGCGAAAGCAGGUCAUAGUGAUCCGGUGGUUCUGAAUGGAAGGGCCAUCGCUCAACGGAUAAAAGGUACUCCGGGGAUAACAGGCUGAUACCGCCCAAGAGUUCAUAUCGACGGCGGUGUUUGGCACCUCGAUGUCGGCUCAUCACAUCCUGGGGCUGAAGUAGGUCCCAAGGGUAUGGCUGUUCGCCAUUUAAAGUGGUACGCGAGCUGGGUUUAGAACGUCGUGAGACAGUUCGGUCCCUAUCUGCCGUGGGCGCUGGAGAAUUGAGGGGGGCUGCUCCUAGUACGAGAGGACCGGAGUGGACGCAUCACUGGUGUUCGGGUUGUCAUGCCAAUGGCACUGCCCGGUAGCUAAAUGCGGAAGAGAUAAGUGCUGAAAGCAUCUAAGCACGAAACUUGCCCCGAGAUGAGUUCUCCCUGAGACUUUAAGUCUCCUGAAGGAACGUUGAAGACGAUGACGUUGAUAGGCCGGGUGUGUAAGCGCAGCGAUGCGUUGAGCUAACCGGUACUAAUGAACCGUGAGGCUUAACCUUAC
rnacentral:rRNA from 1 species